UUAGAGUUUGAUCCUGGCUCAGGACGAACGCUGGCGGCGUGCCUAACACAUGCAAGUCGAGCGAAUGAAGUUCCUUCGGGAAUGGAUUUAGCGGCGGACGGGUGAGUAACACGUGGGCAACCUGCCUCAUAGAGGGGAAUAGCCUUCCGAAAGGGAGAUUAAUACCGCAUAAGAUUGUAGUACCGCAUGGUACAGCAAUUAAAGGAGCAAUCCGCUAUGAGAUGGGCCCGCGGCGCAUUAGCUAGUUGGUGAGGUAACGGCUCACCAAGGCGACGAUGCGUAGCCGACCUGAGAGGGUGAUCGGCCACAUUGGGACUGAGACACGGCCCAGACUCCUACGGGAGGCAGCAGUGGGGAAUAUUGCACAAUGGGGGAAACCCUGAUGCAGCAACGCCGCGUGAGUGAUGACGGCCUUCGGGUUGUAAAGCUCUGUCUUCAGGGACGAUAAUGACGGUACCUGAGGAGGAAGCCACGGCUAACUACGUGCCAGCAGCCGCGGUAAUACGUAGGUGGCGAGCGUUGUCCGGAUUUACUGGGCGUAAAGGGAGCGUAGGCGGAUUUUUAAGUGAGAUGUGAAAUACUCGGGCUUAACCCGAGGUGCUGCUUUUCAAACUGGAAGUCUAGAAGGGCAGGAAGAGGAGAAAGGGGAAAUUCCUAGUGUAGCGGUGAAAUGCGUAAAAAAAUAAGGAAAGAACCACCGGGGGGGAAGGCGCUUUCUCUGGGAUUGUAACUGA
rnacentral:rRNA from 1 species